CCUACGGGUGGCAGCAGUGGGGAAUAUUGGGCAAUGGGCGCAAGCCUGACCCAGCAACGCCGCGUGAAGGAAGGAGGCUUUCGGGUUGUAAACUUCUUUUCUCAGGGACGAAGCAAGUUACGGUACCUGAGGAAUAAGCCACGGCUAACUACGUGCCAGCAGCCGCGGUAAUACGUAGGUGGCAAGCGUUAUCGGGUUUUACUGGGGGUAAAGGUCGUGUAGGUGGGACUGCACGUCGGAUGGGAAAACCACGGGCUAAAGCUGUGGCCUGCAUUUGAUACUGUAGUUCUUGAGUACGGGAGAGGCAGGAGGAAUGUCUAGUGUAGCGGUGAAAUGCGUAGAUAUUA
rnacentral:rRNA from 1 species